rnacentral:rRNA from 1 species
UCGAGAAUCUUCGGCAAUGGGCGAAAGCCUGACCGAGCGACGCCGCGUGCGGGAUGAAGGCCCUCGGGUUGUAAACCGCUGUCAGAGGGGAGGAAAUUCCAGGGAGUUCUCUCUUUGGUUUGACCUAUCCUCAGAGGAAGUACGGGCUAAGUUCGUGCCAGCAGCCGCGGUAAGACGAACCGUACGAACGUUAUUCGGAAUCACUGGGCUUAAAGGGUGCGUAGGCGGUCCUGUAAGUUGGGUGUGAAAGCCCUCGGCUUAACCGGGGAAUUGCGCCCAAAACUGUGGGACUUGAGGGAGACAGAGGUGAGCGGAACUUAGGGUGGAGCAGUGAAAUGCGUUGAUAUCCUAAGGAACACCAGUGGCGAAAGCGGCUCACUGGGUCUCUUCUGACGCUGAGGCACGAAAGCUAGGGGAGCGAACGG